GACGAACGCUGGCGGCGUGCUUAACACAUGCAAGUCGAACGGAAAGGCCCUGCUUUUGUGUGGUGCUCGAGUGGCGAACGGGUGAGUAACACGUGAGUAACCUGCCCUUGACUUUGGGAUAACUUCAGGAAACUGGGGCUAAUACCGGAUAGUAGCUCCUGCUGCAUGGUGGGGGUUGGAAAGUUUCGGUGGUUGGGGAUGGACUCGCGGCUAAUCCGCUUGUUGGUGUGGUAGUGGCUUAGCAAGGCUUUGACGGGUAGCCGGCCUGGGAGGGUGACCGGGCCCAGUGUGCUACGGGAGGGAGCAGGACUGAAACGGCAGGAAGAGGCGAAGGUCUGAGCAAGAUACGCGGCGGGAGGGAGGAAGGACGCCGCGUCGGGGAGGUCUGUUGUAGGGUAGGAACGGGCGUGAGCGUGGGAAGAAGCGACAGUGACGGUAACGGGUCAAGAAGCAACGGCUAACUACGUG
rnacentral:rRNA from 1 species